AGUUUGAUCAUGGCUCAGAGUGAACGCUGGCGGCAGGCCUAACACAUGCAAGUCGAACGGCAGCACAGAGGGAGCUUGCUCCUUGGGUGGCGAGUGGCGGACGGGUGAGGAAUACAUCGGAAUCUGCCCAGGUCGUGGGGGAUAACAUAGGGAAACUUAUGCUAAUACCGCAUACGACCUACGGGUGAAAGCGGGGGAUCGCAAGACCUCGCGCGAUUGGAUGAGCCGAUGUCCGAUUAGCUAGUUGGCGGGGUAAUGGCCCACCAAGGCGACGAUCGGUAGCUGGUCUGAGAGGAUGAUCAGCCACACUGGAACUGAGACACGGUCCAGACUCCUACGGGAGGCAGCAGUGGGGAAUAUUGGACAAUGGGCGCAAGCCUGAUCCAGCCAUGCCGCGUGGGUGAAGAAGGCCUUCGGGUUGUAAAGCCCUUUGUCCGGAAAGAAAAGCUCGAGGUUAAUACCUUCGGGUUCUGACGGUACCGGAAGAAUAAGCACCGGCUAACUUCGUG
rnacentral:rRNA from 1 species